GCUUGGUAGAGCACAUGGUUUGGGACCAUGGGGUCGCAGGUUCGAAUCCUGUCUUCCCGACCAUUCUUGGGGCCUUA
rnacentral:tRNA from 1 species